GAUGAACGCUAGCUACAGGCUUAACACAUGCAAGUCGAGGGGUAACAUUGGCGGAGCUUGCUCUGCCAGAUGACGACCGGCGCACGGGUGAGUAACGCGUGGGCAACCUGCCUCAUACUGGGGGAUAACAGUUGGAAACGGCUGUUAAUACCGCAUAAGCGCACAGUGUCGCAUGACACAGUGUGAAAAACUCCGGUGGUAUGAGAUGGGCCCGCGUCAGAUUAGCCAGUUGGCGGGGUAACGGCCCACCAAAGCGACGAUCUGUAGCCGGCCUGAGAGGGCGGACGGCCACAUUGGGACUGAGACACGGCCCAAACUCC
rnacentral:rRNA from 1 species